GUCUGUUUGAGAAAUCUAUAAAUAGUCUAGCCUGCCCACUGGGUUACUAAAGGGCCGCGGUACACUGACCGUGCGAAGGUAGCAUAAUAAUUAGUUCUUUAAUUGAGGGCUGGAAUGAACGGUUGAACGAGAAGUUAGCUGUCUCUAAGGUAGGUCUUGAACUUUACCUUUAAGUGAAAAGGCUUAAAUAAUAUAAAGGGACGAUAAGACCCUAUAAAACUUUACUUUCUAUUUUAAAAAUUUUAAAAUUAAUGUGUAAAUUUGUUUUUGGAAGAGAUGUUCUGUUGGGGCGACAGGAAUAUAAAAUACUAACUGUUCUUGGAAAAGAAAAUAAUAAUAAUUAGAUUUGAUGAUCCUUUAAUAUGGAUUACAAGAUUAAGUUACUUUAGGGAUAACAGCGUAAUUUCUCUUGAGAGACCUUAUCGACAGAGUUAGUUGCGACCUCGAUGUUGAAUUAAGAUGCCGCUCAGGUGCAGGAGCCUGGGCAGUGGGUCUGUUCGACCUUUAAAAUCUUACAUGAUUUGAGUUCAAACCGGCGUGAACCAGGU
rnacentral:rRNA from 1 species